rnacentral:rRNA from 1 species
AUUGAACGCUGGCGGCAGGCUUAACACAUGCAAGUCGAGCGGGGGAAGGUAGCUUGCUACUUGACCUAGCGGCGGACGGGUGAGUAAUGCUUAGGGAUCUGCCUAUUAGUGGGGGACAACAUCUCGAAAGGGAUGCUAAUACCGCAUACGUCCUACGGGAGAAAGCAGGGGAUCUUCGGACCUUGCGCUAAUAGAUGAGCCUAAGUCGGAUCAGCUAGUUGGUGGGGUAAAGGCCUACCAAGGCGACGAUCUGUAGCGGGUCUGAGAGGAUGAUCCGCCACACUGGGACUGAGACACGGGCCAGAAUCCUACGGGAGGCAGCAGUGGGGAAUAUUGGACAAGGGGGGGAACCCUGAUACAGCCAUGCCGCGUGUGUGAAGAAGGCCUUAUGGUUGUAAAGCACUUUAAGCGAGGAGGAGGCUACUUUAGUUAAUACCUAGAGAUAGUGGACGUUACUCGCAGAAUAAGCACCGGCUAACUCUGUGCCAGCCGCCGCGGUAA